rnacentral:rRNA from 1 species
CUGCUGCCUUCCGUAGGAGUCUGGGCCGUAUCUCAGUCCCAAUGUGGCCGGCCAACCUCUCAGUCCGGCUACUGAUCGUCGCCUUGGUGGGCCGUUACCCACCAACUAGCUAAUCAGACGCGAGGCCAUCUUCG